rnacentral:misc_RNA from 1 species
AAGUCGUAACAAGGUUUCCGUAGGUGAACCUGCGGAAGGAUCAUUACUGAGAACAUGCCCCUUGGGGCAUAUCUCCCACCCUUUGUUUAUUAUACUUUGUUGCUUUGGUGGGCCUGUCUUAUGACUACUGGCUUUGGCUGGUUAGUGCCCGCCAGAGGACCUAAAACUAUUAAAAUGUGUUGUCUGAGUACUAUAUAAUAAGUUAAAACUUUCAACAACGGAUCUCUUGGUUCUG